GACGAACGCUGGCGGCGUGCUUAACACAUGCAAGUCGAACGGAAAGGCCCUGCUCUUGCGGGGUGCUCGUGUGGCGAACGGGUGAGUAACACGUGAGUAACCUGCACUUGACUUUGGGAUAACUUCAGGAAACUGGGGCUAAUACCGGAUAGGAGCUACUGCUGCAUGGUGGGGGUUGGAAAGUUUCGGCGGUUGGGGAUAGACUCGCGGCUUAUCAGCUAGUUGGUGGGGUAGUGGCUUACCAAGGGUUUGAAGGGUAGGCGGCCUGAGAGGGUGACCGGCGACAAGGGGACUGAGAUACGGCGCAGACUCCUACGGGAGGCAGCAGUGGAGAGUAUUGCACAGUGGGCGGAAGCCAGAUACAGCGGCGCCGCGUGCGGAAUAACGUCCUUCGGGUUAUAAACCGCUUUCGCCGGUGACGAAGCGGGAUUGACGGUAAUGGAUAAAAAAGCACCGGCUAACUACGUG
rnacentral:rRNA from 1 species